rnacentral:rRNA from 1 species
AUGGUCAUCGGUUACCACACAUCAAGACUGCGACAUUUGUCUGGCCAUCGAGUCUGCCAGUCAUAUUGUUUUGCGCUGCUAUCUGGCGUCUGUUAUCUGGGACGCGCUCCAUAUGAACACCUAGCCUCCAGCUCUACGGACCUCGUCAUAUUCAUGCAGAGAGUUCAGCAGACUUGGGCCACAUCCAGUAAAGUUCACAUCCUUUUUGCUGCGGGUGCUGUCACGCUUUGGCAUGCUAGAAAUGAUCGAGUGUUCAACGAACGAUGGUCUCCUACCUAUCUCAGACAAUAUGCGUCGCAACUCCUCGGGUUAUGGCAGCACCGGGCCAAGAGGCAGAUCGACAAAGAUGCUAUAACAAAUUGGGUGAAUCUCCUAGGCUAA